rnacentral:rRNA from 1 species
UCCUUCGGGGUGAGUGGCAGACGGGUGAGUAACGCGUGGGAACGUGCCCUUCAGUUCGGAAUAACCCAGGGAAACUUGGGCUAAUACCGGAUACGUGCGAGAGCAGAAAGAUUUAUCGCUGAAGGAUCGGCCCGCGUCUGAUUAGCUAGUUGGUGAGGUAAUGGCUCACCAAGGCGACGAUCAGUAGCUGGUCUGAGAGGAUGAUCAGCCACACUGGGACUGAGACACGGCCCAGACUCCUACGGGAGGCAGCAGUGGGGAAUAUUGGACAAUGGGCGCAAGCCUGAUCCAGCCAUGCCGCGUGAGUGAUGACGGCCUUAGGGUUGUAAAGCUCUUUCGGCGGGGACGAUAAUGACGGUACCCGCAGAAGAAGCCCCGGCUAACUUCGUGCCAGCAGCCGCGGUAAUACGAAGGGGGCUAGCGUUGUUCGGAAUCACUGGGCGUAAAGGGCGCGUAGGCGGCUUUGUAAGUCGGGGGUGAAAGCCUGUGGCUCAACCACAGAAUUGCCUUCGAUACUGCAUGGCUUGAGACCGGAAGAGGUAAGUGGAACUGCGAGUGUAGAGGUGAAAUUCGUAGAUAUUCGCAAGAACACCAGUGGCGAAGGCGGCUUACUGGUCCGGUUCUGACGCUGAGGCGCGAAAGCGUGGGGAGCAAACAGGAUUAGAUACCCUGGUAGUCCGCGCCGUAAACGAUGAAUGCCAGCCGUUGGCGAGCUUGCUCGUCAGUGGCGCAGCUAACGCUUUAAGCAUUCCGCCUGGGGAGUACGGUCGCAAGAUUAAAACUCAAA